AGGAACAUGUGGUUUAAUUCGAUGAUACGCGAGGAACCUUACCUGGGCUUAAAUGGGAGUGACAGCUGUCGAAAGAUGGUUUUCUUCGGACACUCUUCAAGGUGCUGCAUGGUUGUCGUCAGCUCGUGCCGUGAGGUGUCGGGUUAAGUCCCAUAACGAGCGCAACCCUUACCGUUAGUUACCAUCAGGUUAAGCUGGGGACUCUAGCGGGACUGCCACCGUAAGGUGAGAGGAAGUGGGGAUGACGUCAAAUCAGCACGGCCCUUAUGUCCAGGGCUACACACGUGUUACAAUGGCCGGUACAAAGGGCAGCUACUUCGCGAGAAGAUGCUAAUCUCGAAAGCCGGUCUCAGUUCGGAUCGAAGUCUGCAACCCGACUUCGUGAAGCUGGAUUCGCUAGUAAUCGCGCAUCAGCCAUGGCGCGGUGAAUACGUUCCCGGGCCUU
rnacentral:rRNA from 1 species